AGAGUUUGAUCAUGGCUCAGGAUGAACGCUGGCGGCGCGCCUAACACAUGCAAGUCGAACGAGGUAAAUAAGAUGAAGUUUUCGGAUGGAUUCUUAUUUGUCGAGUGGCGGACGGGUGAGUAACGCGUGGGUAACCUGCCUCAUACAGGGGGAUAACGAUUGGAAACGAUUGCUAAUACCGCAUAAGCGCACAGUACCACAUGGUACAGUGUGAAAAACUCCGGUGGUAUGAGAUGGACCCGCGUCUGAUUAGCUAGUUGGUGGGGUAACGGCCACCAAGGCAACGAUCAGUAGCCGACCUGAGAGGGUGACCGGCACAUUGGGACUGAGACACGGCCCAGACUCCUACGGGAGCA
rnacentral:rRNA from 1 species